AAUUUCAAAAUGGCACUCAUAGCACUGGUGCUAGCAAGGUAGCCUGAGAUCACAGAAAUAAAUCCAGCAAUGACUCAGUCCCUGGGGAGCAUCCCAACUGGUUGCGAACUCUCUGGUGGAUGCUUCAAGAGUACUGUAGAUCUUGCUGACACUGCCCCACGGAGCCACCACUCAGUCAAGUGACAACUUCUUUUGCCAUCGAGACCCAUGAGCCGAUGACUGUCAACCGGGGAAUGUCCCCUACCUUCUCCCCAGCUCAGCCCAUCAUAACCGGUUAUUACUGCAUCUGUGCGCGACCACACGGAUUGUGCGCUGGAGGGAGCCACGUCCCUGGAUGCUGAUGCUGUGGGAGCCUGAAGUAACUUUCCAGCUGCCUCCCAGCCCUCUGACCUGAUUGAGCGUGUCUCUGUCUUCAUCUUACUACAUCUACGGAACACUUCUCAGAGUUGGUUAUUUCCGAGCAGGGCAAAACUGUUCCAGGAAGCGAUCAUUCCUGCUGAUUCCAUCCUCACAGGUUAGCAAUCUUAACAUUCGGGGCACAUCUCACUAUAGCAGGUGCAAGGAAAUGGAAGACUGAGUAAAGCACUCGCUGGUGACGCUACAGUAGUCAUCAAACGUGCGUGGGCAUUGAUCACCCAGGACGCAAGCGGACUUGUGAGAACACAGAUAUGGGGCCGUGCUCUCAGAGUUUCUUGUUCAGUUGGUCUGGGACAGAGCCGGAGAAUUUGAAUUUCUCCCAACCUCCCAGGGACCACUCUUAGAGAACUGCCACGCUGAUAUGAUGAGACAGGUGGUCACAAAGCUUCUCAGUAGUCAGCAGGUAGUGCUCAGCGUUAAGCAGUAAACUCAAAGUCAAGCUUAAAGCGAACUCUGUCCAAAGGAAGCCACUGUUUUGGGCUCCUCGAUUUCUUUGAGGCACAUUCUGCUCACUCGUUGCCAUGUUGUGCAUAUUUAAUCGUCUACACAUGAAGGCAGACAGAGGAGGUGAGGGGAUCUUGGACCCUAAAGGUGAGGAAAAUGCCAUCAGAACUGUGCCUUCCCAGCCUCCUGUACACAAAGGAAGAUGAAGAAUGGCUAAGGGGUUUCUGCUGGUGUCUCCAUGUCAAUAUUAUGGAUUUUAAUGGUUGAUGAGAAAGAAGUGUUACAACGUUUCAGGGACCCAGAUCAACCAAAGGCUUUAGAUCUAAGUAAGACCGAAUCUUACUUAGAACAAGAGCCAAAAAACUGAACUUGUACCAGAUACAAUACAGACAAGACAUACCGGAUAAGCACCAUUUUGAUAUUGAUGAUAAAAUAUGAAGGUCAUAAAAAUGAAAACACACCAAAAUUUCCAAAACCAAUGAUCAGGAGAAUUUCUGAAGUAAUGGACCAAGCACGGCUAUAGCAAGGGACCUGGGCCGAAGGGUAGGAAGAGUGGAGAGAAAGAGAUCGAAGGUACAACAGUGGGACAUUCCUGAGGAGAAGGUUUGGACCCCGAGGUUCCUGACGUGCCCUCUGGUUCGGCUACAGCACAAGGUCUGCAGGCAGCGGUCAGACUCACCAGUCUCUUCUGAAAUGUAGGAAAACAUUUCAGGAAAAGCAGAUCUGUGCCAGGGUCAGCCAUCUGAAGCUCUGAUUUCAAGAGGAAAGCAGAGGGGAGUGGAAGAGAAAGUCGGCCUUUGCCUCGGGAUGAAGGCGACCCUCUCUGUGACUUGGCUCGCGUCUUCCUGCAGCAGAAGGAGGGCAGCGUGAUUCUGGGUCACUUUGUGACGGGCGGACCACACAAAACAAAGGAGGGCGGUGCUGCGCGCUGACUGCUGCCCCGGUUUGAAAACAUUUAAUCAACUCUCCUCCCAGGACAUUUGAGUUCUGUGCACUCCUGCCCUUGUGGGCUCCGUCUGGAAGAAAAAGUGCCAAAACCACCGCUGGAAAGGCGGCCCGGAGGUAUUUUCAGUCCGCCUGGAAGCAGCAGAUUUGGGUCCUCUGACAUCACGGAUGAGAAGAAAGUACCCGGGGAGCAGCCUGUGGAUGAGAAACUUCUUUUCGGGGGAGCCGCAGCUGCUGCCUGGAGCCUGACAUCCUGCCCCCCAACAGUUUAGAGAAAUGGGGCCUGCUCAGGGUCCACAAACACCUGGCCGGGAGGGGUCUGAGCCUCCUCUGAGCCCCCCAGCACCGGAGCUCCAUUCUCAGGAAGCAACCCCAGCGUCUGAGAGCAUCCACCUCACUUCCUGAAUCUUUGGAAAAGAAUUUGCCAGGGGCUUCCAGAGACUUGGGCCAAAAUCCUCACUUGUCCUCCCACUUGAACACGUUACCAGACCUACCUGGGCUUCGGAGUUUUACCUCUGAAACGAGAAGACGGGGGGAGCCAACCUCUGGGGUGCCUCAGCCCGGGUGCCCGUUGUCCCUGUAUCUGGACCAACCCACAGGCCGGGCGGCCACCUCGGGGCCCCCAGCGGCCCCUCCCAGCCUGGUUCGCGGGGAGUCUCCCUCAUCUCCACCUCCAGGUCGCCCCGUAAACCGCGAGCUCCUGUAGUCCCUGCUCAGAAGAGCGCUCUGAGCAGGGGCUAAGGCCUUUCACUGAGUCCUGCAGGCCUCGGCUUGCUUGCUGAGGGGACGGGGUGUCUGCGACGGUGUGACCAUGGCUCCCACAGCCUCGGGGACACGCCCAGGCUCGGGCCAGCGCACAGAGGCCAUGCUUUCAGAGUGAGUUCAGCGGGCCUGACGGGACCCACGGCCCGGUCAGCUGUCAGCCACACGCAAGGUUAUCUGUGGGCGGAAACCGUCACCGUCUAUGUCUGCUGGGAUUUUGGCAGCCACGGGAGGGACGGUGCAUCCCUACAGGCCUGGCUGAGUCAGGUUCCCUCCGUGCCAACGGUGCCGCCAUCUUUGGCCGCCAAGGAGAGACGUUUUGGCAGGGCCCAGCGGCGUUUUCCCCGGAGGACAGUGUUACCGGCUCGCGGAGGAGACAGAGCUAGAAGGUGGCAGAGCUAGAAGGGGGCUGGGAUUCUGGAAGGACCUGGAUAGUUCUCGGAAAAUCUGGUAGCCAUUUUUGAAAGGAAAAAAAAACCAAAUCAAGGGGUGGGAGUGAGAGCGUGGAACUUCUUGGAAAUGAGGAGAAAGAAAAUAACACGUCCGUCUCCUCAGCCUUGACCUCGUGGCCCCGCGGCCGGCUGGACGACUCUGCUGGACUUUCCUGAUGCCAACUCGGAUCCAAAGUGUCCAAAACUGAGGUCAUCCUCCCUCACCCUGGCUCCUCUUCCCGUUCUGGCAGUAGAGCCACUCUUCAGACACCAGAGCGGGGCCUCGGGGGAAACCUCUGAUCUUCCCUUCUUCACCGCCGUGUCCGGCCGUCUCCUGCUCUGAGUCAGGAUUUCAAAGUCAUUGCUCACAAAAGUGAACAUAACUAAAGUGACCACGAAAGAAAAGGAAUCUCCAAAAGGAGAACUAAACCAAACGUCGGAGUAAACCGGGGGAUUUCCCACUGCUUCAUCCCACAGGCUCCGGCCUAGCCAGGACACCUGCCCCAGGCCUCGGGCUCGGAGCCCACCCAGCCCCCGUGGAGCCCACGUCCCGCACCUCCCCCUGGGCCCAGGCCCCUGACCCAACCUUUCCUGGAUUUGCUGUCCCUGUUCCUAAGGCCCUCACCCCUCCUCCCACCUGCCCUAUGAGACGUCCUUCCUUUGCCUUCUGAACUCACAGUAACUGUCAGAGCCCAGCUCAGCCAUGCAGCCUCUACCUGUGGGGCUUCCUGACCCGUCCCUGCCUUGGGGUUCUACUGCGCCCACAGCAAGGACAACGGAGCAUCGGCUCCCAGCUCGGGCCCCAGAGCCAUGCGACACCUGUAAGUGGGAGCCACGCAAUGCCGGCUGAGUUGCGUAACAUUUCAGAGCCUUUGCCGUCCUUUCUGUAAAAUGCGACUGAUAACAGUACCUAACUUACGAGGGUGAGGGGAGGAUUAAAUAGGAUAUUGCCCUCAGUGUGCUUAGUACAAUGUCUGACAAUUAAUUAAUAAUCAGUCAACAAUUCUUGUUGUCACUGCUGUCCUUCUUCCUACUCUCUCAUUUCCACUUUCCCGUUUGCUCGUUUGUUUUCAUGCGGCCAUCUUGUCGACCCCUACUAACUUGUAAGUUCUCGAAGGGCAAAGACAACGCUAUCUUUGUAUUAUGUUCUGCCCCGUGGUGCGCAUACACACGCACACACGCGUGCACACACACACACACACACACACGACGUUGUUGGAGUCGUGCCGGGGGCUGAGUAGAUGGUGGACGGACAAAAUUCCUGUCUGUCUGUGUGCAGGGUAGGUGGAGGCCUGGGGCCCCCAUCAUCUGUAGUGAUGAAACAUGGGCCUCGAGUAAAGAGGCCAGGCUGCCAACCAGGAGAGGCAGUGAGGGAGCUUCCAACGAGCACAGUUAUUUUAUCCAAUGUCACCCAAAGGAAGGCUAGGAUAACAUGCUCUGACUUUGGGGAAUUUAUAAAAUAGGCAAAGAACAACUGAUGAGGACAUGACAACUUCUGGAUUCAGGAUUUCAGGCAGCGUGUGAGGAGAAGGUGAAGAAAGGAAAGAGGCAGAAAGGGUCCCAAACCGUAGCCCCUGGUGAUGGCCGUGUAAUGGUUUUAUCUGAUCCAGGAACAAAACAAAGACAACUCUUUUCCAUGUCAGAGUUUUAAUUCUAGCGCUAUUUCUCCAUCAAACAAAACUGAACUCAAGGUAAAAUUGAAGGAGAAUCCAAUAGAAAGCAAUUGAGGACAGGCAAAGUGAACCAAAAUAAUGAAAGAGGCCUUUAUCACAUCAUGCCUCAAAACAGAAUGAAGAGACAGGCCCCAGCCCUCGAUCCCUCCCUGAUUUCCAGGCCUGGGACUCCCCAGAGGCAGACUUCCUACCGGUUGUCCCAUUGUUGCUUCAAUCCAGCCCCAGGGCACUGAUCUUAUCUCUUCAGGUUUAUUCAUUUGUUUUCCUAUCUCUAAAAUGCACCUUUGUAUAGAAUCUGGGCAUGGCUGAAAAAUUACCCCAUUCUCAGCAGUGUCUGCACUAAUCAUGGCCCCUCCCUCCUACUCUCCCACCUGGGACCGUCAGCACACCCCAGCCGUUGUCAUCAGGCAACAUCCUUAGCACCACAGGGGGGUAAGAAAUACAAAGGCACAUUUGGGGUAUAAAGACCAGUGCUGUUUGGGCUUUAACCAGACCAGCAGAAGAAAAGGACCCUUCAAGGGAGAGGGCCUUCCACUAAAAGGGAAACAACCACAAAACAAAACAAAAUCAGGAACGCUGGAAUAAUUAGUCACUCAAUAUUGUAACAGUCUGUUUCUUAGCUAAGCUCUGUUUUGUUUUCAGUACUACAUAGAUCGGGGUUGGGGGGGAGAUGGAGGUGGGCGUGUUUGCAUCCUGACCUGUGCCAUUUGUGCAAAUUCCCAGGUAAACUGAGUCCGUUAACCAAAGAAAUAAGGAAGAAAUAGAAACGGUUGUCCCAGGGUAGGCCUGCCUUUACAGAUGUCACAUUUCAAAGUCACGUUUGCUGUCACUACAAUGAGAACUCGGUCAUGGCUGGGGCCACUGCCUCAUGCACUGGGCAGAAACAGACGUCAGAGGGAGAAAUGUGCUGUAGCCACACCGGGGGGAACGUGUGCCAUUGCUGGUGCUUUAAAUGAUCUGAGAAUGUGCCCCAGUGUUGACCGUUUCAAACGCUCUACUUAUGUUAGACGGGCUUGAGACGUAGGGACGUCUGUGGGACUAAAAUAAAACAGUCUUUCCCUUGUCCUGGAGAACAAAGCCCAGAACUAAGGAGCCAGGUCUUGGUUAUCAGAAGGCCUAUUAUCUGCUCUUUAUCUGACAUUACUUUGGGGCUAGCUUUGGGCCCCUCUGUCCAUCUUUCAGCCAGAGAGCAAGGGAACGGAGCCCAGCCUUACGAUUCAUCUAAGCGACACGUAACUGAGAUGGCAAAUCUGCAAAAAAACCAAAAUUAGACCAACUCAAAGCAAGACUCUAGUCCCCUCCACACACAGGCAGCGCCUUGGAGAGGCGAAUCACGCUGCCCUUCAGAUGCUCUGCCUCACUGCCCCCCACGCUGAGAAACGACUGGGUCGGAACUGGUCUCCGGUCGUUGCUGUGACCAGGAAGGGCUGCCUUUCCCUGGGUCUCAGGAUAUGUGCUUGGUAACUUUCCAGACAUUUAUUGCCACAGUUCAGCCCUGUGCUGCCAAGGUCGGAGCCAAAAAGGGCGUCUGAAAAUGUGCAAAAGUGAGAUCUCGCUUGGCCCAGGCCUAGCCUGAGGGAAGAGAACCAGACGUUCUCCUGCCAGAAGCCAGUCCCCAACUUCAUGGAAACUGGGGAUCGUUUCUGAUGUCCUUCUCACUCUGCCAAGGUCCAAUGCAGCUGCAAUCAUUCUACCUCCAAUUCAAGUAUGUCCUUGAUCCUAAGAUCUUGGAGGCAUCUGGUUCUUCUUUCUUUCUUUCUUUCUUUUUUCUGGCCGGGCCACACCGUGUGUGGGAUCUUAGUUCCCUGACCAGGGAUCCAGCCCAUGCUUCCUGUAGUGGAAGCGUGGAAUCUUCACCACUAGACUGCCAGGGAAGUCCCCGGAGAUGUCUGGUUCUUAAUCAUUAAAUGCAUAUUAAUAAAAACCAAUGUGCUAUACCAUAUCAUGAUAUAUUUAUCACAAUAAUCCAAGAAUAGUGUGUAUUAAUAGAAGGAUAUUAUAUUAGCUAUAAUUACUAGUCUAUUACUAAUUAAUGUUAAUUAUAUUAACUAUAGGUAUAGCUAAUUAUAUUAACUCUACUAUAAGGUGAGAGUAACAUGUUAAUAUAAGAAUAUUCUAUAAAUACUCGGUUCCUCUGCAUUUGUGAAAAUUGACACAAGCUGCAAUGGUAGAUGCCGUGCUGCUCUAACCAGAUGCCGACUGUUGGCUCCCCGGGCUGACAGCUCAGCUCCCAGCCCCCUUCCAGGAACUGCUCUUGGCCGAAGCCGGCUGCCUCACCGUUUCCUGCCCUUUUCCUGGGGAUGGCCUGCAUCCAAAUAACUGGGUGAUGUGCAGUGUGGAGGCUUGGCCCCUGACCCCAACUUGGGCCCACUGCGUAAGACGUGGGGCUCCCUGUGGGGCGGGGUGGGACCACCUCCCUCGGGCCCAUCCUGCCUUCUCUCCCUUCAGCUGUCACUCCUGAGAGCACUUCAUGCGAAUCUUCAUCUCAGAGUCCGCUUCCCGGGGAGGUUAAUCCGCAGCUUUGGUCCCAGCAGGUGCCUGCCUGACCACGUGCUCGGUGGGCCCAGUACUGCCUGCCCCCAGCCACUGGCAGUCGUGGUGCAGCGCUGAUGGUGUCUGGGACAGGCUGCUGGUGGUGACUCUUCCGCUGGUGGUGACUGGAUGUCACAGGCGUAGAAGGAAGGCUCAGUAUAUCAAGUGUCUGAUAAACUUGGGAGACCUGAG